rnacentral:misc_RNA from 1 species
GUUACAGCUUCAAGACAGAGUUUUGGAAUCAAUUGUUUAGAAAUGUGAGGGAAUGCGGUCGACGCGUCCAAACACUGCAAGGUGUUGGAAAAGUGGUUUUUUUUUUCAUAUUUUUUAGAAAACGCAGUAAUUUGCAUUUGGUAUCCAAACCCGGCGCGUUGUUCAAGAUGGCAGCUGAUUGUCUAAUGAAUAGUUUUUUUUUAAACAUUAUAUUUAUAUGGAUUUAAAGUAAUGUGAAACUAAUAGUUCUUGUUUUUUUACGACUGAUAUACUAGUUUACCGAAGAAACCGCGCAAAUUCCAGGUGAAAUAUGUUUCUGGCCACGACUUGGAGGAAACAAAUGGCUUUCAAUUGAAGAUCUUUGAGCUGGUAUUUGAGAAAUAAAGCAAAGUUUCUUUAACAAGUUCCCCACAUCACUGCUUUAAGAUUUUUUAUUUGCCAGUUCCUUCAAAACACAGUGAUCCAUGAAAGUUUAUUAUGCUUACGUGGUGAUUGGAAAUGCAGCCUUGCAAGAUGUCUUGGAAAAUAUUUUUUCUCUUUUAUAGUGGAAAGUUAAAAGAUAAAGCAAAUUAAUGCACUUUGAUUUCAACUCUAUCAAAAAAUAAAGAGACAUUAAUCCAAACUAUUAUUUAUAUAGUACUGUACUUUUAACACUUAUAGCAAGUAGUUUUUUAUUUGCAAGAGCAAAAUAUACUUUGAUAAAUUGGCAUGUAUAAAAUAAUUGUAUUGGAUUGUGUCUUUCUUGCCUUUAAAAAAAUAAGGUUUCUAAAAUUAUAGGUGAAUCCAUUUGAAAAAUUACUGGUUAUAUGUGAAAUGCUGUAAUCUCUAAACUUUCCAACAGUUCGCAGCAGUCGCCAUUCCCAUAUUGAUGAAUCUGUUAUUGCUGAAACAACCCCUAAUUCUGUUGCUUUAAACUACCGAGAACAUCUACCAUUUUCUGAACAAACUGCUACUCAUUCAUUUUCUGUUA